rnacentral:rRNA from 1 species
CGGGCUGGUUAGGCGUCUCAUUUGGGUUGAGGAAGUUUUAUGUUCGAAUCAUAAUGACCCGAUUUUAUAUAAAAAAACUAUAUGAUUAAAUUAAUAAAUGUAAACUACUGUAGUAGUAAGUAUGAUAUGGAUAAUAUUGUUUUGUCAUUUAUAUUGAAUGACAAAUAGUAUAUAAAGAAAUUGUUACGGAAUCCUCGCUAUAUAUCAAUAAGAGCUUUAGAUCUGUAACAAAAUAAAAAUAAAUUAAUACAGUACAGAAUCAGGGGUAAAUAAAUUUAUCCCUAACUCUAAUAAGAAAUUAAGUAUAAUAUAAACGGAGUGAAUUGAAAUAUCUUAGUAGCUUCAGGAAAAUAAAUCAAAAGAGAUUGUUUAAGUAAUGUGAAUGAAAGAAUAAAAGUCUUAAAAAGUAAAAUGGAGUGCAUAUUUGUUUGAAUAAAGGGGAACCUUCCUCUAAGACUAAAUAUGAUAUAUGCGCGAUAGUGAAUAUAAUAGUACCGUGAGGGAAAGGAUUGAAAUAGCAAUUUUAUAAGCAGCUCGAUAAAAGUUUAAAUAAACAAAGAGAGCGUACCUUUGGCAUAAUGGGUCAGCAAGUUAAUGUUUGAUGCGAGCAGUAAUGCGUAGGUAAAACAAUUAUGAUAUAAUGAAGUAGUAUCAAAAAUUAGACCCGAAGCCUAGUGAUCUUACCACGAUCAGGAUUAUAAAAGUCCGAACGGGUUAUCGUUGUAAAGAUAUCCGAAGAAUUGUGGUAAGUUAGUGAAAGACAAAACUGACUAGGAUAGCUGGUUUUCUGCGAAACCUAUAUUAGUAGGUAAUUUAAAUAAAAUAUCGGAAGGUACAGAAUUGUGAUCUCAUACAACUAGUAUUGAAUUAUUGUUAUUUAAAGUAAUAAAUAAAGGAAUGUUCUUUGUGGACAUUGGGGGGCCGUGAAGGUUCUAUCAGUGAGUAUUUGUUCUCGGAAGGGCUAGAUAUGAAUAUUAAAUAAUCGGACAUAGUACGAUAAGGUUGUAUGUCUAAAGGGAAACAGCCCAGAACAAGAGUCAAUAAGGUUCCAAAAUUUUUGUUAAGUGAAAUGAAGGCAGUUUUUAUCCCAAUCGACCAGGAAAUAGGCUUAGCAGCGGCCAUUUUUUGAAGACCUCGUAAUAGAGCACUGGUUUUGUUAUGAGGCUAAAAGCACCUAAAAUUUAACGGAUCUAAACAAUAUACCGAAACCUUGUCCAUACAUAUAAAUAUAGAAACUGUAUAUUGUAUAUAUGGGGUAGCGGGACAUUGGGCGAGUUUAAGAUUAUUUUUUUAUAAGAAAUAAAAACAGCAUGUAGCGCUAAACAGCCCAAAUGAUAAUGCUGACAUGAGUAACGAUAAAAGGAUAUACCUUCGCCUAAAGCUUAUGGAAUUUAGAUAAAGUUACGGCCUCUAAGUUUAUAAGAUCCCUAAAGGGAUAAACGAUGAGCAAAUCUAUUUUUAUACAGAUAAUAACAUUAUAAGUUUUUUUUUAAUAAAUAUUUAUAGAUUAAUAAGUGACAAAUGUUCUGGAAAACUGUAAAAAGCAUCUAUAAAUGGAAAUAAACUAUAAUAGACUAUACAUUUAUAAAUGAUAUAUUACCGUACCUAAAUACUAACACUAGUAAGCAAGUAGAGUAUACGAAGGCGUUCGAGUGAUCAAUCAUUAAGGAACUCGGCAAAUUGACUCCCGUAACUUCGGGAUAAGGAGGGCCAUUCCUCUUUAUUAAUAUAAGGAAAGGAAGAGGAGGCACAGAAUGGUGUUGUACGACUGUUUAAUUAAAACAAAGCACGCUGCAAAGAAAUGAAUUCGAAGUAUUGAGUGUGAUUUCUGCCCGAUGGCGGCUGGUUAUCGGAUUUUCUUAGUUGAUUAAGCUAGGUUUUGAAGGAACCCCCGUUCAAUGGCGGCUUUACACCUGAGAGUCCUAAGGUAGCGGAAUUUCUUGGCCGUUAAAUGCGGUCGCGCAUGAAUGAUGUAACGAUACAACAGCUGUCUCAAUGAUUGGCUCGGUGAAAUUGGAAUAACUGUGCAGAUACAGUUUACCUCUAGUUAGACGAGAAGACCCUAUGCAGCUUUACUGUUUCUAGUUACUGAGUAUGAUAUAAUGAGUUGUAGUGUAUAAGGUAAUUGGUAAGAUAUGAUUGAAACACCUUUACUUCAUUUAUCAUAUUAUAUAUACUUUCCAGGAGAUAAGUCUAAUAGUGGCCAACAAGGCUUUAUAUUAAGACACAAGUAAUGGUUGUAAAAAUUGAUAAAAACAAUUGCUAGGUGGCAGUUUAUGCGGGGCACAGAUCCCAUAAAAAGUACCUGGGUGUAUCCAAAUUCACUUUUGUAAAAUUGCAUAUUGCAAUUAAACAUGUGUAAAUUUUAUUGCGCAUGUUUAUUAUUUUUAGUAUUAGAUUGGUGUUAAUUUAAUACCAAUUCAGUUAUAUAUCUAUUUAAGUUGGAAUUAUUUUUUUUUUAUUUUUAAGUAGGAUUUUACUUACACUUAAAUGUAGAUGUAAUUAAAAAGUUAUUUUUAUCCUUAUACAUGUAGCAACAAAUUUAUAGUAUGCAGGAAAGUUUAAUGUGAAUAAUGAUUUUUGUUGUUUACUAUUAUAUUUAUUGUAGUAAAAAUUAAUUUUUAUUAUAAUAAAUAUUUAGUUAAACGAUAAUUAUUUUACUUAUCAAGUUUAACGGCUUAAUCCUGCUUUACUGUUUGACCUACACGUCUAUCAGUCGCGUAAGCGGGGCAUAUGAUCACAAGAUGCAUAAAGGAAAGGUCUUGGAUUAUAGAAAAAGCUACGCUAGGGGUAACAGGCUAAUUGCGCCAGAGAGUUCAAAUUGAGUGCGCUGUUUGGCACCUCGAUGUCGGCUUAGCUUAUCCACAUGAAUGCAGUAGUCAUGCAGGGUGGGACUGUUCGUCCAUUAAAAAGCUACACGAGCUGGGUUAAAUACGUCGUAAGACAGUAUGGUUUCUAUCUUCUAGAGGAUAUUAGAAUAAAAUAAAGAUAGCCCCUUGUACGAAAGGAGUUGGGUAUAUUAACCUAUGGUUUACCUGUUGUUUAUCUACCUAUAUUAAUAUAGCCAAUACAAGAGUAAAGUCUUAUAUUAGUUAUAUCAUAUAAGUUUAUAGCUGAGGGCGCAAUCCCCUUGGUGACAUGGCUUAGGCUGGGAUUUUAUUUUUCACUAAAAUAAUGUUUUAGAGUAUAAAUAAACUAAAAAAGAUGAUAUACUUAAUU